UACGUAGGGGGCUAGCGUUGUCCGGAAUCAUUGGGCGUAAAGCGCGUGUAGGCGGUCCGAUAAGUCCGCUGUGAAAGUCGGGGGCUCAACCCUCGGAUGCCGGUGGAUACUGUCAGGCUUGAGUACGGAAGAGGCGAGUGGAAUUCCUGGUGUAGCGGUGGAAUGCGCAGAUAUCAGGAGGAACACCAAUAGCGAAGGCAGCUCGCUGGGACGGUACUGACGCUAAGGCGCGAAAGCGUGGGGAGCGAACAGG
rnacentral:rRNA from 1 species